UUUUUGCCUGCCGCCAUCCACGUAAGGUAUGAUUUGCCCCUCCUUGCCUUCUGCCAUGAUUGUGAGGCCUCCCCAGCCACGUGAAACUCAUGAGGCGACUCAGAAGGAGCAUGAGCAGAGAUGACCCUAAUAGGUGGUGCCAACACAGUUUCCCUGAGAAGUUGAAAUCGAGGACUGGUGCCCACUGAGGAGGUCUGAGGAGAGGAGGACUCAGAGCAGCCAGGUGAGGAUUCAGGAGCGCGACUUUCGAGAACAGAACAGUAAAGUGUGUGCUCAGAGUCCGUGGGGGCAGCAUCAGGGCUUCCACUCUUGCAUGCCGUGCUACACUGGAGUCCCAUUCUACACCACCUGCCCACACACAGCUCUGCUGAGGCACGAGGCCCCGUGGGUGCAGCACCAUCUUCUCGAGGGUAUCCUUCCUUGCUGCAGCGUCUUAUCUGUGUGCAGCUGCAGGUGUUCCUUAGCAGGGUCUCCAUAUAGAUGACUGCGCUUGAAACAUUUCAAAUCUCCUCCUAUUUCAAACUGCUUUAUAAAUCCUUGUAGGAGUGACCAAUGUAUAUCAUAUUACCCCACAAUACAGAAAGGAAUCUUCAUCAGUAAUUUAAGUUAUAGAAAGUUAAGUUGUUGUAAACUAGGAGAUCAAGAGGGGGGCGCCUCAUCUAUGUGAAUCCUGUGACCCCCACAAAUAUUAUAGAAGCAAUAUGAGAGGAAGUUCAUGGCGACCCCACGCAUAUUAUAGAAGCAACACAGGAGGAAGUUCAUGGUGACCCCACGCGUAUUAUAGAAGCAAUACGGGAGGAAGUUCAUGGUAACUCCACGCGUAUUAUAGAAGCAACACGGGAGGAAGUUCAUGGCGACCCCACGCAUAUUAUGGAAGCAACACGGGAGGAAGUUCAUGGCGACCCCACGCAUAUUAUGGAAGCAAUACGGGAGGAAGUUCAUGGCGACCCCACGCUUAUUAUAGAAGCAACACGGGAGGAAGUUCAUGGCGACUCCACGCAUAUUAUAGAAACAACACGGGAGGAAGUUCAUGGCGACCCCACGCAUAUUAUGGAAGCAACACGGGAGGAAGUUCAUGGCGACCCCACGCAUAUUAUGGAAACAAUACGGGAGGAAGUUCAUGGCGACCCCACGCAUAUUAUAGAAGCAACACGGGAGGAAGUUCAUGGCGACUCCACGCAUAUUAUAGAAACAAUACGGGAGGAAGUUCAUGGUGACCCCACGCAUAUAAUACAAGUAACACGGGAGGAAGUUCAUGGGGACCAGGGGUAAGGUCUUCAGGAAGAAGUGUGACUUGGUAGGUGGUGAAGUGAAUGGCAUACUUUUCAAAGCUAGAGGCUCAACCAAGAAGAAAAGAUAA
ensembl:lncRNA LINC01029 long intergenic non-protein coding RNA 1029